GUAGGGGUUGGUUUUGGUUCUGGUUUAAAAAUUGUCGGUCUUCUUGGAGUAACAUCAUGUCCUGUAUGGUUCUCUGGGUGAAGGCUCGGAUGCGAUUUUGUAAAAACUGAGUGAAUAGGCGCAAGAGGCAGAGCCCAAAGGCCAGGAGAAGGAGGAUAGUUAUAGCAGGGCCAAGGAGGGGAAGUAGCCAGGUGGCCCAAGAACUGAGACACCAAGGGGACCAAGGGGGCCAAGAGGGCCAGGCAGAGGAGCUGUUUUAUUUUCUGAGCUUGGUCUUUGAGCUUCUUGACUGCAUCUUGUACCAAACCUGAUUGGUUGAGAUAAAAACAGCACUGCUCAUCUAAGAAAAUGCAGAGACCUCCUUUUUCAGGGGUAAGUCAAGACCUCUGCAGUUUUGGAGGACUACUGCUGCUAAUGAUUCCAAUUGUGAUUGGAGGUUUGAGACGGCAUUAGCUAUGCCCUCUAUAUGUCCAUAAGGUCUUUUGAGAGUGAGCGAUAGUAGGUGAGGGAAGUGGAUAGGCCUGCUAUUCCAGUUCCUGUGGCAGUGGCAAUUCCUAGUCUGGCAAGUAGGGAUAUGAGUUGUAUGGCUUGACGAUGUUGAACCGAGGCCUGAAUUGGGGUGGAGAGUAGAAGAGAGGAUAAUAUAAAGAUCACGCCAAAUGGAGGUGGUGAAGAUAUCACUGAACUCAUGAAACCAUAGGAAUCAAGUCUUCUGAAGUAGCACCAUUAUCAACUUCCACAGUGAGUAUAUAUUCUAAAAACACAGUGAUAUUACAUGUGCAGCUGCAGAAAACCAUUCAUAUAUUAUCUUGAUGAUUAUUUUGAUCAAAUGACUUUUCAUCUAAAUUAAUUAUAAUAAUUUUUAUCAAAGUUUUCAUGUGCACAUAGAAGAGUGAAUUGAUAUUUGUGAAUGCAUGAGUUGAACUGGCAGAAGAAAAUAUUUGCAAACAGUUAAAAGCUGAAAAUUUUAUACCAAUAUCAUCUAAUGCAUUAAGUAGAAAAUCAGCUAACUGCAAAAAAUGAUUCAAGUGUUUUCAUUCAAUUUAGGAACUCAAAGUAAUGUUUUGAAAGUACAUUUCAA
rnacentral:lncRNA from 10 species